UCCGGGUUUCGCCCGGCAGUCUCCCUAGAACAUUCAACUAAGGACAGGGGUUGCGCUCGUUGCGGGACUUAACCCAACACCUCACGACACGAGCUGACGACAGCCAUGCAGCACCUGUGUGUCGGCUCCCUUUCGGGCACACCCCCCUCUCGAGAGGCUUCCGACCAUGUCAAGGGUAGGUAAGGUUUUUCGCGUUGCAUCGAAUUAAUCCACACCAUCCACCGCUUGUGCGGGUCCCCGUCAAUUCCUUUGAGUUUUAAUCUUGCGGCCGUACUCCCCAGGCGGGCAACUUAAUGCGUUAGCUACGACACGGGGGGAGUCGACACCCCCCACAUCUAGUUGCCAUCGUUUACAGCGUGGACUAC
rnacentral:misc_RNA from 1 species